AUUGAACGCUGGCGGCAUGCUUUACACAUGCAAGUCGAACGGUAACAGACCGCAAGGUGCUGACGAGUGGCGAACGGGUGAGUAAUGCAUCGGAACGUGCCCAGUCGUGGGGGAUAACGCAGCGAAAGCUGCGCUAAUACCGCAUACGAUCUAUGGAUGAAAGCGGGGGACCGAAAGGCCUCGCGCGAUUGGAGCGGCCGAUGUCAGAUUAGGUAGUUGGUGGGGUAAAGGCCCACCAAGCCAACGAUCUGUAGCUGGCCUGAGAGGACGACCAGCCACACUGGGACUGAGACACGGCCCAGACUCCUACGGGAGGCAGCAGUGGGGAAUUUUGGACAAUGGGCGCAAGCCUGAUCCAGCAAUGCCGCGUGCAGGAAGAAGGCCUUCGGGUUGUAAACUGCUUUUGUACGGAACGAAACGGUCCGGGUUAAUACCCUGGGCUAAUGACGGUACCGUAAGAAUAAGCACCGGCUAACUACGUGCCAGCCGCCGCAGUAAUAC
rnacentral:rRNA from 1 species